UUUAUGGAGAGUUUGAUCCUGGCUCAGGAUGAACGCUGGCGGCGUGCCUAAUACAUGCAAGUCGAGCGAACGGACGAGAAGCUUGCUUCUCUGAUGUUAGCGGCGGACGGGUGAGUAACACGUGGAUAACCUACCUAUAAGACUGGGAUAACUUCGGGAAACCGGAGCUAAUACCGGAUAAUAUUUUGAACCGCAUGGUUCAAAAGUGAAAGACGGUCUUGCUGUCACUUAUAGAUGGAUCCGCGCUGCAUUAGCUAGUUGGUAAGGUAACGGCUUACCAAGGCAACGAUGCAUAGCCGACCUGAGAGGGUGAUCGGCCACACUGGAACUGAGACACGGUCCAGACUCCUACGGGAGGCAGCAGUAGGGAAUCUUCCGCAAUGGGCGAAAGCCUGACGGAGCAACGCCGCGUGAGUGAUGAAGGUCUUCGGAUCGUAAAACUCUGUUAUUAGGGAAGAACAUAUGUGUAAGUAACUGUGCACAUCUUGACGGUACCUAAUCAGAAAGCCACGGCUAACUACGUGCCAGCAGCCGCGGUAAUACGUAGGUGGCAAGCGUUAUCCGGAAUUAUUGGGCGUAAAGCGCGCGUAGGCGGUUUUUUAAGUCUGAUGUGAAAGCCCACGGCUCAACCGUGGAGGGUCAUUGGAAACUGGAAAACUUGAGUGCAGAAGAGGAAAGUGGAAUUCCAUGUGUAGCGGUGAAAUGCACAGAGAUAUGGAGGAACACCAGUGGCGAAGGCGACUUUCUGGUCUGUAACUGACGCUGAUGUGCGAAAGCGUGGGGAUCAAACAGGAUUAGAUACCCUGGUAGUCCACGCCGUAAACGAUGAGUGCUAAGUGUUAGGGGGUUUCCGCCCCUUAGUGCUGCAGCUAACGCAUUAAGCACUCCGCCUGGGGAGUACGACCGCAAGGUUGAAACUCAAAGGAAUUGACGGGGACCCGCACAAGCGGUGGAGCAUGUGGUUUAAUUCGAAGCAACGCGAAGAACCUUACCAAAUCUUGACAUCCUUUGACAACUCUAGAGAUAGAGCCUUCCCCUUCGGGGGACAAAGUGACAGGUGGUGCAUGGUUGUCGUCAGCUCGUGUCGUGAGAUGUUGGGUUAAGUCCCGCAACGAGCGCAACCCUUAAGCUUAGUUGCCAUCAUUAAGUUGGGCACUCUAAGUUGACUGCCGGUGACAAACCGGAGGAAGGUGGGGAUGACGUCAAAUCAUCAUGCCCCUUAUGAUUUGGGCUACACACGUGCUACAAUGGACAAUACAAAGGGCAGCGAAACCGCGAGGUCAAGCAAAUCCCAUAAAGUUGUUCUCAGUUCGGAUUGUAGUCUGCAACUCGACUACAUGAAGCUGGAAUCGCUAGUAAUCGUAGAUCAGCAUGCUACGGUGAAUACGUUCCCGGGUCUUGUACACACCGCCCGUCACACCACGAGAGUUUGUAACACCCGAAGCCGGUGGAGUAACCUUUUAGGAGCUAGCCGUCGAAGGUGGGACAAAUGAUUGGGGUGAAGUCGUAACAAGGUAGCCGUAUCGGAAGGUGCGGCUGGAUCACCUCCUUU
rnacentral:rRNA from 1 species